rnacentral:rRNA from 1 species
CCGCCCGUCGCUACUACCGAUUGAAUGGUUUAGUGAGGCCUUCUGAUUGGCGCCGCCGCCCCGGCAACGGAGCAACGGAUGUCGAAAAGUUGGUCAAACUUGAUCAUUUAGAGGAAGUAAAAGUCGUAACAAGGUUUCCGUAGGUGAACCUGCGGAAGGAUCAUUA